rnacentral:rRNA from 1 species
GACGAACGCUGGCGGCGUGCCUAAUACAUGCAAGUUGAGCGAUGAAGAUUGGUGCUUGCACCAAUUUGAAGAGCAGCGAACGGGUGAGUAACGCGUGGGGAAUCUGCCUUUGAGCGGGGGACAACAUUUGGAAACGAAUGCUAAUACCGCAUAAUAACUUUAAACAUAAGUUUUAAGUUUGAAAGAUGCAAUUGCAUCACUCAAAGAUGAUCCCGCGUUGUAUUAGCUAGUUGGUGAGGUAAAGGCUCACCAAGGCGAUGAUACAUAGCCGACCUGAGAGGGUGAUCAGCCACAUUGGGACUGAGACACGGCCCAAACUCCUACGGGAGGCAGCAGUAGGGAAUCUUCGACAAUGGACGAAAGUCUGACCGAGCAACGCCGCGUGAGUGAAGAAGGUUUUCGGAUCGUAAAACUCUGUUGGUAGAGAAGAACGUUGGUGAGAGUGGAAAGCUCAUCAAGUGACGGUAACUACCCAGAAAGGGACGGCUAACUACGUG